rnacentral:rRNA from 1 species
UACGAAGGGGGCUAGCGUUGCUCGGAAUCACUGGGCGUAAAGGGUGCGUAGGCGGGUCUUUAAGUCAGGGGUGAAAUCCUGGAGCUCAACUCCAGAACUGCCUUUGAUACUGAAGAUCUUGAGUUCGGGAGAGGUGAGUGGAACUGCGAGUGUAGAGGUGAAAUUCGUAGAUAUUCGCAAGAACACCAGUGGCGAAGGCGGCUCACUGGCCCGAUACUGAUGCUGAGGCACGAAGGCCAGGGGAGCAAACGGG